rnacentral:lncRNA from 1 species
UGAUUAGCUUGUAGGAUACUCUUCUUUCAAUCUUCCACUUACACCAAAGUCAAUCGUCUUUGUAUUUCAAUCUCAUACAAUCAAGAUGGCGAUCAAAUAACUGCUAUGGUAUGAACUUAGUGAAUAGAUCUAUUAUAUUAUUUUUAGUAUUAACUCAUUCUAAGACAACAUCUUAUUUUUGUAUAAUUUUUUGAAUGAGAUGGAAACAUCUGAGGAUAUGCUUGGGUAUCUAAUGAGACCUAAAUUCUUUGACUUUAACAACGACCCCAGUAUCAUCACAAUAAACUGGCC